rnacentral:lncRNA from 1 species
UACCUUACCAUGCAUUGCAGGGAUAGUUGAUGGUGUAGCGGCACCCCAGUAAUCCAUGCCGAUAUUUAAGUUAGUGGUGUGAGGAACACCACUCACAACCCCAGCUGUUGCCAUUGGCAUGAUAGAACGAGUUCGAUUCACUUCUGAAUUAGGUGUAUUUGGUCCUCCAUUCUGGGAACCAUGACCAGCAUUUCCAUUCAGAGAUGUUUCAGCUGUAGAAGAGUUAUAAAGUAAGGUUUGUAAUCAGAACUUAUGAAAAAGGUAGCGACAGCAAUCGAAGUACAAAUUCCUAGAACCUCACCAGAAUCUUGCAGGCCUCCGGACUUCAUUUGAAUACAGAAAAAAGCCUAUACUCUCGAGAUAAGUAGCUUCUAAACUACCUAAUUACCAACCAAAAAUACAUGAUAAACCAAAUCAAUUCGCUUUACCCUCGAGAUAAGUAGCUUCUAAACAACCUAAUAACCAACCAAAAAUACAUGAUAAACCAAAUCAAUUCGCUUCCUCAAGAAAAAUAGACAAUGGGUUUUAGCUGGCAACUUUUUUGCAUCAUGCAUCAACUACCAAUUGGUGAAAAUUGAGUAAAUCUUUAACUCUAAAAUAUAUCACAGAAAAUCACAAUUUGUUUCAAAUGUUUACAUCCACUCAACCUCAGUAUUUAGCAUGCUGAUAGACCAAAUAUCAGUAAAAGCCAUGAAACAAGACUAGACACAAAGAUCUGAAGCCUAACAGCAAAUCAAUUAGAUCACAAGCCCAUGACCCACGUCAUCUCAAUCUAAAAACCAGAAAAACAAGGAAAUGCAAUUCAGUAAAUGGUAAAGAAGGAGAAAGGAAGACCUGUAUCCAAAGCUGUGACUGAACAUUUUCCCGUGAUCCAGUAGUGACCAUUCCUCCAGCACCAAGAGAGGGUACCUUACCAUGCAUUGCAGGGAUAGUUGAUGGUGUAGCGGCACCCCAGUAAUCCAUGCCGAUAUUUAAGUUAGUGGUGUGAGGAAUACCACUCACAACCCCAGCUGUUGCCAUUGGCAUGAUAGAACGAGUUCGAUUCACUUCUGAAUUAGGUGUAUUUGGUCCUCCAUUCUGGGAACCAUGACCAGCAUUUCCAUUCAGAGAUGUUUCAGCUGUAGAAGAGUUAUAAAGUAAGGUUUGUAAUCAGAACUUAUGAAAAAGGUAGCGACAGCAAUCGAAGUACAAAUUCCUAGAACCUCACCAGAAUCUUGCAGGCCUCCGG